GAACUUAAGCACAUCAAUAAGCGGAGGAAAAGAAACUAACAAGGAUUCCCCUAGUAACGGCGAGUGAAGCGGGAACAGCUCGAAUUUGAAAUCUCAGCGCAAGCUGCGAAUUGUAGUUUAGAGAAACGUUUUCGGGGCCGGCAGCCAGUACAAGUUCUUUGGAACAAGGCAUCACAGAGGGUGAAAAUCCCGUCUUUGACUGGCUGCUUGGUUCCAUGUGAUACGUUUUCCAAGAGUCGGUUUGUUUGGGAAUGCAGACCAAAAUGGGUGGUAAAUACCAUCUAAAGCUAAAUAUUGGCGAGAGACCGAUAGCGAACAAGUACCGUGAGGGAAAGAUGAAAAGAACUUUGAAAAGAGAGUUAAACAGUGCGUGAAAUUGUCAAAAGGGAAACGUUUAAAACCAGUAUUGCGGGCAGAAACUCAGGUUCCAUUUAUGGUGCUGUAUUUUUCUGUCGGCGAGUCAACAUCAGUUUUGCUUGGAGUAAAACGCCAGGGGAAGGUAGCCUUCGGGUGUUAUAGCCUCUGGUAAUGCUCUGGGCGGGACUGAGGACUGCAGCGUUCUUUGGGUUUACCACACCAACGCUUAGGAUGUUGACGAAAUGGUUUUAAGCGACCCGUCUUGAAACACGGACCAAGGAGUCUAACAUAUAUGCGAGUAUUUGGGUGGCAAACCCUUAUGCGUAAUGAAAGUGAAAAGGUGGGAUCCUUUGCUGGUGCACCAUCGACCGCGCCAGAUUAUUGCUAUCUCGGCGUGAGUAUGAGCAUACAUGUUGGGACCCGAAA
rnacentral:rRNA from 1 species